rnacentral:rRNA from 1 species
UGCCAGCAGCCGCGGUAAUACGGGGGGUGCAAGCGUUAAUCGGAAUUACUGGGCGUAAAGCGCACGUAGGUGGCUUUGUAAGUCAGAUGUGAAAGCCCACGGCUCAACCGUGGAAUCGCAUUUGAUACUGCAUCGCUAGAGUAUAGGAGAGGGAAGUGGAACUUCUGGUGUAGGAGUGAAAUCCGUAGAGAUCAGAAGGAACACCGGUGGCGAAGGCGACUUCCUGGACUAUUACCGACACUGAGGAGCGAAAGCGUGGGGAGCAAACAGGAUUAGAUA